GUUUGACCUCAAAUCAGGUAGGAUUACCCGCUGAACUUAAGCAUAUCAAUAAGCGGAGGAAAAGAAACCAACAGGGAUUGUCUCAGUAACGGCGAGUGAAGCGACAAAAGCUCAAAUUUGAAAUCUAGCACCUUCGGUGUUCGAGUUGUAAUUUGAAGAAGGUAACUUUGGUUUUGGCUCUUGUCUAUGUUCCUUGGAACAGGACGUCACAGAGGGUGAGAAUCCCGUGCGAUGAGAUGCCCAAUUCCAUGUAAAGUGCUUUCGAAGAGUCGAGUUGUUUGGGAAUGCAGCUCUAAGUGGGUGGUAAAUUCCAUCUAAAGCUAAAUAUUGGCGAGAGACCGAUAGCGAACAAGUACAGUGAUGGAAAGAUGAAAAGAACUUUGAAAAGAGAGUGAAAAAGUACGUGAAAUUGUUGAAAGGGAAGGGCUUGGGAUCAGACUUGGUAUUUUGUAUGUUUUACUUUCGGGUGGAGCCUCUGCAGUUUACCGGGCCAGCAUCAGUUUGGAUGGUAGGAUAAUGACAUUGGAAUGUGGCUCCUCGGAGUGUUAUAGCCCUUGUUGAUACUGCCUAUCUAGACUGAGGACUGCGUCUUUGACUAGGAUGCUGGCAUAAUGAUUCUAAGUCGCCCGUCUUGAAACACGGACC
rnacentral:rRNA from 2 species